rnacentral:lncRNA from 1 species
AACUUAAGCGUGGAACGAAGCAUCCAUCAAGCUUAUGUAGAAGCAAUAAGGAGGGCUGAGAAGUUCAUCUACAUUGAGAACCAAUAUUUCAUUGGAGGAUGCCAUUUAUGGGAGAAGGACAGGCAUUGCGGAUGCAGAAACUUGAUCCCUGUAGAAAUUGCACUCAAAGUAGCGAACAAGAUCAAGUCAAAAGAGAGGUUUGCAGUGUAUAUAUUGAUACCUAUGUGGCCUGAAGGAGUGCCUGAAAGUGAAUCAGUCCAAGAUAUACUGCACUGGACAAGGGAAACAAUGUCAAUGAUGUAUAAGCUCAUCGGUGAAGCCAUUAAAGAGAGUGGUGAGGCAGGUCAUCCACAAGAUUAUUUGAACUUUUUCUGCCUCGCAAAUAGGGAAGAAGAGAACAAAGGAGAAUAUGUGCCUCCAUGUUCUCCUCACCCCUUGACACAGUACUGGAAUGCCCAGAAGCACAGAAGGUUUAUGGUAUAUGUCCACUCCAAGCUAAUGAUCGGUAUGUCAAUUUCUGUGUUAAGCAAAUAACUGAAUAUACAUUUUCUAUCAGCAUAAAUAUUUAGUUUCAUUAAUUAUUUAAAAGUAUCUUCCUUUCAUAUUAUUUCUCAGUGGAUGAUGAAUACCUUCUAAUCGGAUCAGCCAACAUAAACCAACGAUCCAUGGACGGGCAACGGGACACUGAAAUUGCAAUAGGAUGUUACCAGCUCAAAACUGAUAAUGAUCAUGAAAUCAAAACCAUAAGCUCUGGUGAUGUACAUGCUUACCGUAUGACACUCUGGUAUGAGCAUGCUGGACUAAUUGAAGCAUCAUUUUACAUGCCUCAAAGCCUGGAAUGUGUGCAUAGAAUACGAUCCAUUGGACAAAAAAUGUGGAAAAUUUACAGUGGAGAAGAAGUUGUUGACAUGGAAGGGGUGCACCUUGUAACAUACCCCAUUGAAGUAACGGAGGAAGGUUUGGUUGAAGAUCUGGUUGAUAAUGAUGGCAAUUUUCCUGAUACAAAAACUCCAGUUAAGGGAAGGAGAUCAAAAAUGCUGCCACCAAUUUUCACCACAUAGUUGCCAUUGUCGUCAUUAUCAUCACACCUAGCAGCAUUAAUACUGUUUUAGAAAUUAACACACAGGGAGGUGAAUUAACAUUUGACAUUAAACAUCAACAUACUGUAAUCAAAAU